GCGGCUGCGGCGGGGCCGCCGCGUGGGGGCGCUGGGCGGGCGAGGAGGAGCGUGAGGGGAUUUGGCGCCGCGGGCGGUUGCGGAGUGACCGUUAGCCGAGAAACCGCUAUCUGCGGUUAAAAAGAACACUUUUUUUUGAAAAAAAAAAAAUCCGUUUUAGAACGGAGAUCACCUCUUGGCCGUGGUGGCAGAGCAGGAAGGUGACACAAAGCUGUGGGGAGCGGUUCGGCUGAGCGCCGGGGGAGCAGAGGAAUCAUUUUCAGAAGGAAUCUCUGCAGUGAAUAUGACCAGCCACUGAGCUGCCUGAUGCUACUACCUCAACUCUGUCCUUCAUCAGAUUAGGUUCUCUUCUUACUUUACUGAGCAGCAGCAGAAAGUGAGUUUUAACGAGUGCAUCUGGAGAACAGCACUUCAAGUAAGAGUCAUUACCAAGAAAACCUUUUUAACAGCCUGUCCCCAUCUGAGGAACUUUCUGCUCCACUUCAUACAGAGUGCUUGGCUCUCGGUCUCCUCGCAGAAAAAUAAUGGCUAUUAGGUGACAAGGUCUAACAGAAAAACACCACCCAGACAUGCGAAACCAGGUUCUGAAUAGCAGCCCUGGAACAGAGCGGGCUUGUUGACUUCAUUCUGCAGCUGCAUGACAAAUCUGCCUCUAAGCCUGCUGCUUCAAGAAGACACCACAGCAUCUGUUCACAUAGAAGAUAGCUUUUGGCUUGUCUUUUUUGAAAUAACGAGAAAUUUAAACUACUGGGUUUAAAUGGAAACUUAGAAACAGGUGAUUUGGGUUUUCCUCAUUUGCCAAGAAAAGCUUCCCAUUUAUCUUUGACAAAGGACUGGAUGGAUUAUCCUCAAUUUCAAUUAAAUAUUUUCACUUCACAUGUGGAGAAAUUAACAUCUAAUUUACAAGAAGCUUUAAUCCUCAUAUAACAAUUAUAUUCUAUUAUGUGAAUCUCUGUUUAGUCAAGGUAUGAAUACAAAGUCUCUUUGAUUUUUGUGGGCUGGUUCUUUCUGUAUGCAUCUCUUUCUAUAUGCAUUUGCUUGUCACCAUGACAACUUCCUAUCAGUUUGUCUGACACUGUGCACUUCAAAGAAGUUACAGUUAACCCAGGGCCUGAAUGCAGAGUACCAGGGAGUAAUGUCUGAGCAUCUGAUUUCCAUGGACUCAUGCAUAGUUCUGCUCUGCUGAAGUCUGGUGCAUCCAUGCAUGCAAGUUUAAGAACAAAGAACUACAUUCUUUCACCAGAUCUUCAAGCUGCAACAUACUGCAAUUUCUCCAAUAUCUUUUCAUUCUAAUUAUGUACACAGGUUUGUAAAGCCAAUAUUAUGGACAUGUUUGUAAAAUCACUAUUUAACUAUCACUUAACAGAUUUAUAGCUUGACUUAUAAAAAUGUCUCUAUGUUUCCUUCAGAAAUUAUUCUCUUUAUAGUCUAGUUAAGAAGUUUUUAUUAUUGAGUACUGGGAUCAGCACUUAAUUGGGAAGUAAUCUACCAUAGAACUAAGCUGCCUUAUACCUGUCUCUAGCUGUUCUCCAGUAACCUAGAAAAAUAUUCCUGCCUGUGCAAAUCUGGCUGAUCUGCUCUGUCAGGAGCAAUUUUUCAACUUAAACUUUGGUACUCAAAAGAUCUGUGCAUUCUUUGAUCUGAGAUGCCUGGGCUGAUACUCUGUGAGCUGUGCUAAUUUGUGUUGCUGGGUGGUGGUGGGUGCUCAUUGCCAUGCUUCCUCACCUUUCCAUACAGCAUUUUUGUUCUCUUGGGAGAGUUUGCACUGGAAACUGGCAGACUUUACCAAAAUAGGCGUUUGGACAGGACGCUUCAGUUCCUUGAAGGAAGGAUUUGCAGCAUGAAGAGUUGAAAAAUUUAUUUGGGGCAAGUGGCUUUGUUCAGCCAUAUCUGGAAGUGCCUCAACGUUAGAGGUGAAACUGAGACAGCUCUAAACCUGCCAGAGGUAGUAAGGGCAAACUUUCCUAAUGAAAUGUGAAUGGCUAGACCUCUAUCAGUGAUGUUAAUUGCCAAUUGUUUGGCAAGACUGUGGUUUAAAAACCUUGCAUGUGUUAUUUCCUUGUCAACCUCAGAAGAAAACCCUCAGUCACAAAUUGUCUUAAACAGAAAUAUUCAUGCCUAUACACUGAACUAGCUUACACAGUGGAGCCUAAUGGUAGAUGGGAGAGAUUAGUCUGCUGCACAGAGCAGUAGUACUGCUUUUGCUUAUUGCAUUGAUUCUGCAUGUUCCAGCUGGCAGCUGCCAUGUCUCUGAAUGUACAUCAUGCAUAUUACAUCUGUGUGUAGAGCCUUGCAUCACGUUUGGUUUUUUGAAGAGGUGUAGUGGAUAACUUGAAAAAUGUACGGGAGUAUUCUCUUUUCCUAAACAAAACAUCUCAAGUAUCUGAAAAGGAAAUUGGUUACUCUUGGCUGCAUUAUCUGAUCAGAAAGACAUGUAGAUAUGUGACAACUAUAAGUAUUUCCACCAUAGAAAGAGCUGCUUGUUCCAGUUUUUGCUAAAAGGCCACUGUAUUUGAAUCAUGGUCCUGGAGAUGGGCUGUUCCUUCUGUUUUGCCAUUGAAAUAAAGCCUUCCAGGAGGAGCUCUCUAGACCUCAUCGUUAUAAAUCUCACACUAGGAGGAUAAGAAAGUUGAGUUUUGUAUUGCCUAUUAGAAAAAGAAGGCACAAAACACUUAACGGGGAGUGGGGGGAGGGAAAGACUCCCAACUGUCUCUUAGGGAGCUUAUUGGUAUUUAUUCUUUUACAAGUGCUGGCUGAAGAUACGUUCAGAAAUAUCUAUAUGACCUAUGAGACUAAUACAGCUGUGACAAACCAGUUCAGCAGUACAAACAGCAGGGAUUUGUCAGAAGCAAAACCAUGAUCUCAGCUGGUUGUGCUACUCAUGAGAUUUUAAAAUUUUGGAAUCCAUGCUAAAAUGCAUGCAACUGAAAGCAAAUGAAGAUGUAUUACAUUAUUUACUUUUUGACUGAAAUUAUAUUAAUGAAAUGACUAAGAAGAUCGUUGGAGACGUGUCCCAGUGUACUCUAGUAAGCCAAAAAUCCAGCAGACUAUUUUAAUGUACUGCUGCCAAUAGCAAAAUGUGUGACUUGACAAUAUCUUUAGAGUGAUAAAAAUGCAGUUCCAAGCAGUUAAUAAUCAGAUGGAGUCAAAAUCCUAUUUUGAAAAAUAAACACAAAAUAUUUCAUUAAUUAUAACACUGAAUUGUGACAUGGUUCUUAGCCUGAGCUGCCAAAAAGAGUUUAUUAGUGAUCCCAAGGGCAGGUGCAAAAAGUAAUGCUUCUACUUUUUCAAGAAAUGUUUGGUAAAUUCUUUACUUCCCAGUAGGUGUCACUGGAGUCCAGCAGAGAGCUAUUAUUUAAAACAUCUUUUCUGCUUAAUCGAACCUUUAUUUCAUGGAGAAACAUUCAGUAUUAGUACAUGUAGACGUACAUCCAAUAAAAAUGAAGAACUGCAA